UGACAAUCAUUAUUAAAAGUGCUAGACUAGAAUGCGCGUGCGUUCAUAUACAAUAAAUAAAUUAAUUUUCAAAAUUAUAUAAAAUAUAAUUUAUAUUAAAAAUGAAUUCAGUCGAAUUUAUGGAAAACUGAAUGAAACCAAUAACCAUACGAGUAUGGAGUUUUUUUGGGACAAUACGCUGUCCCAUGAUUGCAUGAGCUACACGUUCAACGCCAUAAUAGCCAUCAUUCUGCUGUGGCAACUCCAGACGAUCAUGUACCUCAGCCUAUACAUGUGAUUGUCAAUUACUUUGUUCCAUCAUGUUCCAUGGAUUAUUGGUGGUGCUGAGUGACAUCUUUGAACAAUUCUUCGAAAGGAUUUUUAUGGUAUAACAAACUGGUGUUGCGAUGGCUGAGAAUCUUCUUGACACAGCUGCGAAGGUAAGCAAUGAGUCAAUUUAAUGAUAAUGAGCAUCAUACUAAUAAUUAUAAUAAUGUAAAGCAGUACUUUCUACUUUAAACAAUAUAUUUGGAAUAUUUUUUAUUUGACUGUGUAAAUACAUAGAAAUAAUUUUAUUAAUUCAAGUCUUUACACUUGCAGUUAGUUAAUAAUACACAAUAUAUUUUUUUAUUUUUAACAUACUUAUAUGUUAUAUCGCAAAAUCAAACAAAAAA
rnacentral:lncRNA from 1 species